ACGAGAAACAACAGAUUAAACACAAGUAACCAGCAACAAUUGAACGAGUAGGCACACAAAUUCAACAAAGACACUUAUUGAAAGAAUGUGCGAGGCUAAACGGUUGCUGGGACAAAGGAUCUAACCUGAAAAAAUUUGUUUUGGUUUUUGUGGACUGUAGGAAGGGAAAAACACUCGGUAAAACUCACCGAUCAACCUGGAAAGCUGAUACCACUUGAUAGAGUUGGAGUGCCCGAUCUUUCGGUGAGUGGAGAUAGAUUCGACUUGGUGGAAGUAGACCCUCACGAUCCGACUACGACGAGCGAACCCGAAGCGCCAAUGCAAUCGCUGAACCAACUCCCGAUGGUUACCAACCUCGCCGGUGCGAGAUCAGCCUGAUCACGAAGAUCGAUUCCUGUCCGCAAUCGAAGAACGAACAAGAACAAGAGGCGAGC
rnacentral:lncRNA from 1 species